rnacentral:rRNA from 1 species
UACGAAGGGGGCUAGCGUUGCACGGAAUCACUGGGCGUAAAGGGCGCGUAGGCGGCGUUUUAAGUCGGGGGUGAAAGCCUGUGGCUCAACCACAGAAUGGCCUUCGAUACUGGGACGCUUGAGUAUGGUAGAGGUUGGUGGAACUGCGAGUGUAGAGGUGAAAUUCGUAGAUAUUCGCAAGAACACCGGUGGCGAAGGCGGCCAACUGGACCAUUACUGACGCUGAGGCGCGAAAGCGUGGGGAGCAAACAGG